AUGGACAAGCUUCCCAAGCGCCCGGCUAACUACGUGCCACUUAGCCCGGUUGGCUUCCUUCCGCGCGCCAGUGCAGUAUACGGCGACCGCACGUCGGUCGUCUACGGGCGUCUCAAGUUCACGUGGAGGCAAACGCACGAGCGCUGCCGCCGCCUCGCCGCCGCCCUCGUCUCCCUCGGCGUCCGCAAGAACGACGUCGUCUCCGUCCUCGCGCCCAACGUGCCGGCAAUGUACGAGAUGCACUUCGCCGUGCCCAUGGCUGCUGCCGUGCUCAACACCAUCAACACGCGCCUGGACGCCAAGGCGGUGGCGGUCAUCCUCAGGCACGCCCAGACCAAGGUCCUCUUCGUCGACUAUGAGUACGUGCGCCUCGCUCACGACGCGCUCCAGAUCGUUGCCGAUGCCGGCGCGCCCGUGCCGCUUGUCGCCGUCAUCGAUGAUAUCGACAGACCCACCGGCGUCCGGCUCGGCCUCUUCAAGCUCGAGUAUGAGGCGCUGGUCAGCAAAGGAGACCCGGCGGCGGAGCUGCCCUCGCUCGAAGACGAGUGGGAUGCGGUCGCGCUCAACUACACCUCGGGUACCACGUCGGCGCCCAAAGGCGUGGUGUACAGCCACCGUGGUGCGUACCUCAACACCAUGGCCCAGCUGCUGUCGUGGGGGGUGGGCACCGAGCCGGUGUACCUCUGGACGCUCCCCAUGUUCCACUGCAACGGGUGGACCCUCACGUGGGGAGUGGCGACGCGCGGCGGCGUCAACGUCUGCAUCCGCGAGAACCGCGCCGCCGACCUCUACCGUGCCAUCUCCGACUAUGGCGUCACCCACAUGUGUUGCGCGCCCGUGGUAUUCAAUAUCCUCCUUUCCGGCGAGGCACCGCGGCUCGCGGCUCCCGUCCACGUCCUCACUGGCGGCGCCCCGCCGACGGCCGCCCUGCUGGACCGUGUCGAGCGGAUCGGUUUCAAGGUGACGCACUCCUACGGACUCACUGAGGCAGGCCCCGCUCUGGCCUGCGAGUGGCGUCACCGGUGGGACCUCCUGCCGCUCGCGGAGCGCUCACACCUCAAGGCCAGGCAGGGGGUCAGCAUCCUGUCUCUCGCCGAUGCCAAUGUCGUGGUCGACGAUGACACCUUGUCUAGCGUGCCGCGCGACGGCAAGUCCUUGGGUGAGAUCGUGCUCCGCGGCAGCAGCCUCAUGAAGGGGUACCUCAACAACUCGGAGGCUAAUGAGAAGGCCUUCAAGGGCGGGUGGUUCAUGACGGGCGACGUCGGCGUCGUGCACCCGGAUGGGUACAUAGAGAUAAAGGACAGGUCAAAGGACGUGAUCAUCAGCGGCGGUGAGAACAUUUGUAGCACGGAGCUGGAGCUCGUGCUGCUCCAACACCCGGCUGUGGCCGACGCGGCGGUGGUUGCCAUGCCUCACCCGCACUGGGGCGAGACGCCGUGCGCGUUCCUCGUGGCGAAAGACAAGGCCGCCGAGGUAUGCAAGGAUGAAGUGAUCGCCUUCUGCCGCGAGCGCAUUUCGCGUUUCAUGGUUCCUAGGAAGGUGGUCGUCAUCUACGCCCUCCCCAGGAACGCGCUGGGAAAGGUGGAGAAGGUGAAGCUACGGGAUACGGCCCGGAAUCUUGUCCUCUCGGCCAUGUCAAGGAUAUAG
rnacentral:rRNA from 1 species